CGCGCUUGGUUCAGGCUCCGCACCGGAAUGCGAACCGGGGUUCUUAUCUCUCUCACGGCUUACGCGUUACGCGCCUACCCCCACGUACACAAGAACAUACGAAGCUGCCUUACUCCAAGUCAGACUAGCUCAAUAUUGCCUACUCAGACGGGCUGUGGCUCUCCAAGGAUUUAGGCAGGAAUCUCUUCCAGCCCUUCCUAGAGACGCCAGGGCUUGAACCUGGCAUCUUCUGUGUGCAAAGCAGAUCUCUACCACUGACCUAUGGCCCCAUUAUUACUAACCUAAGGACACUGCUUCUGAACAUGGAAGUUCUACUUUGUGAUAGUGGAUCACGGCUGUUGAUUGAUCUCUCUUCCAUGAAUUUGUUGAAUCCUUCUGAACAUACUUAAAGCUAGCUGGCAUCCUCACAUCUUGUGGCAGAGAACUUCCCUGUGCAUGGUGUGAAAAUGAACUUUCUUUAGAAUACACUGAACUUGCUACCAGCCAGCUUCACUGGGCAUUACUGGACAUGAUGAGAAAGGGGGAGAGAUUUUGUAGUGACAGCGAAAGACAAGAUCUGCCUGUCAUUGUGUAAUCAGUUGUGCUACAACAUUUGGAUAUCCAUGACACUAGCUCUCCAGGAGCUAGAGGGAAACAGAUUUCGUCAAUCAUAAAUGAAACAGAAGAGGCAUGUGUCAGGGCUGGGAAUCCAAAAUGUAUGUUUGUUUGUUUGUGAUGCUCAGUCUUUUGUUUCUACUUAUAUUAAAACUAGCCUGUUCCUUGCUAUAC